rnacentral:rRNA from 1 species
AGCGAACGCUGGCGGCAGGCUUAACACAUGCAAGUCGAGCGGGCAUCCUUGUGGUGUCCGCGGCAGACGGGUGAGUAACGCGUGGGAACGUGCCCUUCGGUUCGGAAUAACUCAGGGAAACUUGAGCUAAUACCGGAUACGUGCGAGAGCAGAAAGGUUUAUCUGCCGAGGGAGCGGCUCGCGUCUGAUUAGCUUGUUGGUGAGGGUAUGGCUCACCAAGGCGACGAUGAGUAGCUGGUCUGAGAGGAUGAUCAGCCACACUGGGACGGAGACACGGCCCGGAGUGGUACGGGAGGCAGCAGGGGGGAACGUGGCACAAUGGGCGGAAGGGUGAUGAAGCAACGCAGCGUGCGGGAUGAAGGCCUUCGGGUUGUAAACAGCGUGCGCCUGUGACGAAGCGUGAGUGACGGGAAUGGGUAAAGAAGCACCGGCUAACUACGUG